ACCUCACCCCUCCUUGUUACUUCCGUCUAUAUACCGCCGUCGUCAGCCUACCCUGUGAAGGUCUAAUAGUAAGCAAAAUUGGCACAGCCCAGAACGUCAGGUCGAGGUGUAGCAUAUGGAAGGGGAAGAAAUGGGCUACAUUCUCUAAUCUCAGAGAACACGCACGACAUAAUGAAAACACAUGUCACAAAGGAGGAUUUAGUAGUAAGCAGGAAAUAGAGAGUUCCGCUGAAAUAGGCCCUUAAGCGCGCACACACCGCCCGUCACUCUCCCCAAGCCUACACAAACCCAAAUAACCUAAACCCUACUAUUGCAAAGGGGAGGCAAGUCGUAACAUGGUAAGCGUACCGGAAGGUGCGCUUGGAAAAAU
rnacentral:rRNA from 1 species